rnacentral:rRNA from 1 species
ACGAGUGCGUGUGCCAGCCGCCGCGGUAAUACGGAGGGUGCGAGCGUUGUCCGGAUUUAUUGGGUUUAAAGGGUGCGUAGGUGGCUGUUUAAGUCAGUGGUGAAAUACGGUUGCUCAACAAUCGAGGUGCCAUUGAUACUGAAUAGCUUGAAAUAAUUGGAGGCUGCCGGAAUGGAUGGUGUAGCGGUGAAAUGCAUAGAUAUCAUCCAGAACACCGAUUGCGAAGGCAGGUGGCUACGAUUGGUUUGACACUGAGGCACGAAAGCAUGGGGAGCAAACAGGAUUAGAUACCCUGGUAGUCCAUGCUGUAAACGAUGAGGACUCGCUGUUUGAUGGCAACAUUGAGCGGCUUAGGGAAACCUUAAGUCCCUCCACCUGGGGAGUACGCCGGCAACGGUGAAACUUAAAUGAAUUGGCGGG